GAUUGAACGCUGGCGGCAGGCCUAACACAUGCAAGUCGGACGGUAACAGGAAGCAGCUUGCUGCUUCGCUGACGAGUGGCGGACGGGUGAGUAAUGUCUGGGAAACUGCCUGAUGGAGGGGGAUAACUACUGGAAACGGUAGCUAAUACCGCAUAACGUCGCAAGACCAAAGAGGGGGACCUUAGGGCCUCUUGCCAUCGGAUGUGCCCAGAUGGGAUUAGCUAGUAGGUGGGGUAACGGCUCACCUAGGCGACGAUCCCUAGCUGGUCUGAGAGGAUGACCAGCCACACUGGAACUGAGACACGGUCCAGACUCCUACGGGAGGCAGCAGUGGGGAAUAUUGCACAAUGGGCGCAAGCCUGAUGCAGCCAUGCCGCGUGUAUGAAGAAGGCCUUCGGGUUGUAAAGUACUUUCAGCGGGGAGGAAGGGAGUAAAGUUAAUACCUUUGCUCAUUGACGUUACCCGCAGAAGAAGCACCGGCUAACUCCGUG
rnacentral:rRNA from 1 species